GACGAACGCUGGCGGCGUGCUUAACACAUGCAAGUCGAACGGAAAGGCCCUGCUUUUGUGGGGUGCUCGAGUGGCGAACGGGUGAGUAACACGUGAGUAACCUGCCCUUGACUUUGGGAUAACUUCAGGAAACUGGGGCUAAUACCGGAUAGGAGCUCCUGCUGCAUGGUGGGGGUUGGAAAGUUUCGGCGGUUGGGGGUGGACUCGCGGCUUAUCAGCUUGUUGGUGGGGUAGUGGCUUACCAAGGCUUUGACGGGUAGCCGGCCUGAGAGGGUGACCGGCCACAUUGGGACUGAGAUACGGCCCAGACUCCUACGGGAGGCAGCAGUGGGGAAUAUUGCACAAUGUGCGGAAGCCUGAUGCAGCAACGCCGCGUGCGGGAUGACGGCCUUCUGGUUGUAAACCGCUUUCGCCUGUGACGAAGCGUGAGUGACGGUAAUGGGUAAAGAAGCACCGGCUAACUACGUG
rnacentral:rRNA from 1 species